rnacentral:lncRNA from 1 species
CUUAGUGUUCCACACACAUACACAUGUACCCUUAAUGUAAUUUGCUGGCAGAAUCAGCGUAACAUGGUGUGCAUAUAUGACAAAGCUGUAAUGCUUGAAUUAGAGGUAGAAUGCAUCCUGCGUAGCUUCUAUGCAGAUUCUUUCAACUCAGUUUCAUUCACAAGCAAUGGGUUUACCUGAGGUUAGAGAAAAUGACAUUUGUGCAAUUUGUUACAUUGAGAGAUUGAACCCAAGACCUAAUGGUUGUGAAUCAAACUCCUUAACCAUUUAGCUAGUACCGUAUUAAGACAUGGGCACACUGGGUAAGUUGCCCAAGGACUCUGCAGGUCUAGGGGUCCAACUUACAUGCUGUCAAUAAAUAAAUAAAUAGUACUGGGCUUCACUGAGGAAAUGACAAGGAACUGAGACUUGUGACAAUUUGCUGUACCUGAGAAGACAUGUCAUGCUGAGUAAAAUCACAGCCUUCCAUACAUACAGGCAUGUCCUUUGCAGAUUGCUGGUGCCAUGCAUAAUGCAUUCAUGCUGGUAGCACGUAAAAAGCACCCAGCACACUCAGAAAAAUGGUUCACGUAUGGAAGGGCAUCCAGCCAUAAAAACCAUGCCAUGUCCGGACAGCUCUCUGGUUGGCCAGCUCAUGUCAAACCAUCCAACCCAUGCCAGCAUGGAAAACGGAUAUUAAAUAAUGAUGAUGAUAUAGGGCCAGUGAAUUGAUAUGCCUGGGGGUCUAUAAUGUUAACAUGACCCUACAUUCAGCAAUGCUUGCACCUUUAUACAUAUACACAUGCAUACAAUGUAUACACUUACAUACAUUUACACACAGCUAUAUAUAUAUAUAUAUGUGUGUGUGUACGUGUACAGAUAUAUAUAUAUAUGCUUGUGAACAUGUUGAAGCAAGUUCUAAAUUCUUUCCGUAUUCAUUUGCAUCCUGCGUUAUUGAUUUAAGAAAUAGUUUAUAAUUUUUGUUUCUACUUCUUGUUUUUAGUCAUCAGAUUAUAUUGAUGUUGCAGGAAUAUGAUUUCCAAGCAGAAGCUUUUAUAUCUAAAAUUUCAGUUAACCUGAAGAUAUCUAAAAAAAAAAACAACACAGAGAUUAUAAGUGAUCAACUCCAACUGCAACAACAAACAAUAAUACUAUCUAAUGGUCUUUGUUGUUUUUGUUCCAUUGCAUGCACGCACAUGCACACACACAUAAUGUAUAUUUGUAUUUAUUUAUAUAUUUUCAUUAUGAAAGAAAACAAGCAAGUCACAGCCAUCAAUUUUUGCCAUAGUUGUUAAAGAGGAUUUUGUGGAAUCUCUUACGGCUGCUUUUAUUGCUUGUUUUCUACUACUACUAGUUAAUUAAUUCACAUCAAACAUGUCUAAUUACAUGUUAUUACUUGCACUAGCUGGUUGAAUGGAGAUACAGCUUUCACAACACCUCAUAUUGUUGUUUAGCCCUGGGUCAGACCUGAAUGUGCAAAUCCAUGAUAGUCAAGUCAGCCAAACUUUUAAGGGUUUCUCAGACUAUAUAGUUAAGUUAAGUUAAUUUUUUGGCUCAAAAAGCAAAAGCAAGGCCAUGUAGGAGGACAUGGAGUUAUGUACAGGGAAGGUGUUCAUGCAAAGAGUUCAGGCCAUUUCUGGUCAAGAGAGUCUUUGAACCGAGCGGCAUCGGCAUCUUCACUAUCUCAUCCGGCAGCUUAUUUCAUGGAUCCGCAACCCGAUCAGAGAAAGCCCCUCUCCUUCGAUUGAGAUGAAAUUGUCGCAGAUAGAGCUGUACUACUAAAUGUAUUCAUUGCAUUUUAAGAGAGCAGGUAAUGAUUUUGAGUUCUGACUGCUAUUUCUAGCAUUUUGAGCGAUUGCAUAGAAGUUCCUUCAUUGGUUUGGUGUAGACCUGCUGUGAAGCUUGUGUGGAUUCAGUGAAUUCACAGCCGAGUCAUACCACUUCACUCACUCACUCAUAUCUUUCCUUCAGUGAUGUGACAAGUGUUUUUAGUUUUAAUUACGUUUGUUAUUCCAAUUAGCUUGAGAUUACGGGAGAUAAACAAAGCUAGCUGAGGUUUAAUCAACUGCAAAACAACAUAUUAUCUUCAGUUACAUUGUGACUCCUAGUUUCAUCUAUUGUUGUUGUAACUGUCAGUCAUCAUAACUGGCAUGUUGUGUUUGCCCCAAUAAAAGUUCAGUGUUGCAAUCCAAAGAUAGGAUGGUUACAUUUGAAACACCUUUGGCCAUAGGUUUGCUUAAUUGAGGAUGACCUGGCACUAAACAUCAGCAGCAAUAAUGGCAUACUUUCAUGAGGAUGCCAUUAUGAGAUCACUCAGCCCACUAGAAAUAGCAACCAAACCUCCCUUUGAUUACACUCUACUGUUUUAAAUAAAGAAUCAUUAUUUGACAUAUGAUUUCCUAUGCUGGUGUGUGUUGGACAGGUUUUCGUAGCAGUGUUUAAUGCCCAAUGCUCUGCAUGACCGCAACCCUUUUAGUUUCCACUUGCAACAUGUGGUGAUAUGGUGCACCUUCUCUAAAACAAACAUGCACAUAGUAUGUCUUAAAUAAAGAAUACAUUGGAUAAUGUAAUCCUAGGUGUCUUGAGGAAGCAGGUUAAUAAUGGCUGAAAGCUUUUGACUAUAGGUUUGCUCAAUAGGGUUGCAGCCAUUUCCAAAGGUUCUUAUGAUAUCUAAAACUUAUCCAUACCUUGUUUGAAAGAUUUUCUUCUUAGGCAUAUAGUGGAGUCAUACUGCAUUUCUAGCUCAACACCUGUUGCUAAUUAAUGUCUACGUUUGAAUCCUCAGAUUAUGUUGCCUUUAAUCCUUGCUUGCUCUCAUUGUUGGUGCAUUCAUUUCAGGAGAAUAUAUCUUGUGUUGUUUUCUAGGUUUGAAAUUUGACUAUUAUUCUUGUUCAUUCAUAUAAAUACCUUAUCCUAUCAUGAUAUUUCUGUGACUUAAUGGCUCUAAUUGUUUACUAAUAACCUUUUUCUUGACCACAUUUCUCUCAGGUCAUUCAGCUUAAGUCCUUUCAGGUCGUGAACUUCUUUAAAGGAAACCAAAUAAUCUGCAUAUUAUGAAAGUUUAAUUAACAGAUUAAGAGGUGGUUGAAUGGAGAGGAGCCUCAAUAAUUUCAUACCUUAAAGCUUCUUAAGUUUAUAAUUUUAUACAUGCAUUCUCAUUCCAUUCAUUAGUUGUAGAUAGGUAAUUAUGAUGAUGCUGGUACCUUCUAGCAGCAUUGAUGCUAGCAAUGAAUGGUCCAACUUCUUAUAGCUGACUUUAGAACAUAGUUUCUUUCAUCCAACAUAUACACAUACAUAAAUACAUGUUUGCUCAUAUAAAUAUAUGCAUAUAUAUAUAUAUAUAUAUAUAUAUAUAUAUAUAUAUAUAUAUAUAUAUAUAUAUAUAUAUAUAUAUAUAUAUAUAUAUAUAUAUAUAUAUAUAUAUAUAUAUAUAUAUAUAUAUAUAUAUAUAUAUAUAUAUAUAUAUAUAUAUAUAUAUAUAUAUAUAUAUAUAUAUAUAUAUAUAUAUAUAUAUAUAUAUAUAUAUAUAUAUAUAUAUAUAUAUAUAUAUAUAUAUAUAUAUAUAUAUAUAUAUAUAUAUAUAUAUAUAUAUAUAUAUAUAUAUAUAUAUAUAUAUAUAUAUAUAUAUAUAUAUAUAUAUAUAUAUAUAUAUAUAUAUAUAUAUAUAUAUAUAUAUAUAUAUAUAUAUAUAUAUAUAUAUAUAUAUAUAUAUAUAUAUAUAUAUAUAUAUAUAUAUAUAUAUAUAUAUAUAUAUAUAUAUAUAUAUAUAUAUAUAUAUAUAUAUAUAUAUAUAUAUAUAUAUAUAUAUAUAUAUAUAUAUAUAUAUAUAUAUAUAUAUAUAUAUAUAUAUAUAUAUAUAUAUAUAUAUAUAUAUAUAUAUAUAUAUAUAUAUAUAUAUAUAUAUAUAUAUAUAUAUAUAUAUAUAUAUAUAUAUAUAUAUAUAUAUAUAUAUAUAUAUAUAUAUAUAUAUAUAUAUAUAUAUAUAUAUAUAUAUAUAUAUAUAUAUAUAUAUAUAUAUAUAUAUAUAUAUAUAUAUAUAUAUAUAUAUAUAUAUAUAUAUAUAUAUAUAUAUAUAUAUAUAUAUAUAUAUAUAUAUAUAUAUAUAUAUAUAUAUAUAUAUAUAUAUAUAUAUAUAUAUAUAUAUAUAUAUAUAUAUAUAUAUAUAUAUAUAUAUAUAUAUAUAUAUAUAUAUAUAUAUAUAUAUAUAUAUAUAUAUAUAUAUAUAUAUAUAUAUAUAUAUAUAUAUAUAUAUAUAUAUAUAUAUAUAUAUAUAUAUAUAUAUAUAUAUAUAUAUAUAUAUAUAUAUAUAUAUAUAUAUAUAUAUAUAUAUAUAUAUAUAUAUAUAUAUAUAUAUAUAUAUAUAUAUAUAUAUAUAUAUAUAUAUAUAUAUAUAUAUAUAUAUAUAUUGUUUAUAUCCAGUGAUAUAAACUAUAUAUACUAAUUAGAUUUAUAUAUAUAUAUAUAUAUAUAUAUAUUGUUUAUAUCCAGUGAUAUAAACUAUAUAUACUAAUUAGAUUUAUAUAUAUAUAUAUAUAUAUAUAUUGUUUAUAUCCAGUGAUAUAAACUAUAUAUACUAAUUAGAUUUAUAUAUAUAUAUAUAUAUAUAUAUUUGUUUAUAUCCAGUGAUAUAAACUAUAUAUACUAAUUAGAUUUAUAUAUAUAUAUAUAUAUAUAUAUAUAUCCAGUGAUAUAAACUAUAUAUACUAAUUAGAUUUAUAUAUAUAUAUAUAUAUAUAUAUAUAUAUAUAUAUAUAUUGUUUAUAUCCAGUGAUAUAAACUAUAUAUACUAAUUAGAUUUAUAUAUAUAUAUAUAUAUAUAUAUAUAUAUAUAUAUAUAUUGUUUAUAUCCAGUGAUAUAAACUAUAUAUACUAAUUAGAUUUAUAUAUAUAUAUAUAUAUAUAUAUAUAUAUAUAUAUAUAUAUAUAUAUAUAUAUAUAUAAUUGCAUAUGGUUUUAUAGAUAAUCUGAGUUUUAGCCUUUUCACUAAUGUUCUUUCAUUGCUAAUCUUCCCUCAUUUAUAUUUUACUAUUUGUUUCCACUUAAUACAUACUUAAAAUUUUAGUUCUCUAACAGACACCCUGUAAUUUACUAUCAUUUUGCACAGGUGCUUGUGUUUAUGUGUACAUGCUCAUAGCUAUUAAGAAUCCUUCAGGGGAUUCAGUAAAUGUAUUUUACCCACCAGUGGUGAUGACCUACAAAAAUAACAGUCAGUUUUAAGUGACAGUACUCUGCAAAACAUCCAUUAUAAUGUCUUGUAAGUUUUCACUUCUCAUCCAGAACAUCAAAAAUGAAUAAUGAAAUUAAUACCAAUAAAAAAAAAAAUUACAGAACAACCUCUGUCAUAUUUGUAAUAUAAUUAUGGUAGGGUAGCAUGCAUACGUUAUGUAGUGGAGUUGUAAAAGUUCAAUCAACUAAGGUUAUUCAAGCAAUAAAUAGGUAAAAAAAUUCUCUUCUUCCGUAUUUUUCUCUGCUACGCUUUUCAGUGAGCUAUCUUUUGGAAGUUCAUGUAGCAUAUUGUUUUUUUUUUCCUGUGAGAUAAGGUUGCUACUCCUUUCAUUCAACUCUUAAUAUAAAGAUGCAAGGGAAUUAAUUCCUGUUAGAUCAGAUCAAAAUUUUUGUACAAUGUAGAUAAUGCAAUUUGGAGUGGAUCUGGUCUUUAAAACCAGCUGGUGAAAAAAACACCUUUGUGAUGGUUAGAGAGUGAGAGAAAAAGAAAGAGAGAGAAAUAGUGAACAGAAGGACUGUAGUGAUGCUGAUUAUGAAUGAUUUAGUUUUCUAUCAUUCUUUCAAAAAUUAAUGAACUACUGUAUUUUUUGACCUACAAGUCGAAUUUUUAAGACCAUAAUUUACAACCAAAACGAGGUAGGUUCACUUAUAUACCAAAAUGACUUUGGAAGGCCGAAACUUUCAGGUGAAAUGCAGUAGGAUUUGGAAAGAUAACGAUGAUAUUUGAAUCUUUACACUGUGUUUGCAUUAUAUGUACAUCAACUUGUAUGCCAGAAAAUACAGUACUAGUGUUGGGUAGUGGACUGGUGGAAACGUUUGAGCAUCAGAAGGGAUGCCUUGUGAGCCUAGAUCUUUAAUGUUAUGUGUUCAAAUCCCACCAUAACUUACCUGGGUAACAGAUUUAAUCCAUCAUCCUGUUGAACACCACCACUUGGCUUUUAAGUGCAGUAUAAGUGGAGUCCACUUUGUUGCAAGCUUUCAGACCAGGUCUCCAGUUUGAAGAUACCUCUCUCCUUCCCACUCAUAUCCAAGUAGACUAGUGGGGUGCUGUGUUGUAUAAUAAUAUUAUAGCCCAUAUAACUAAUGGUAAUAGUCUAGUGGAGUUUAGGUUGAUGAUAUCAAUAUGGUUCUAGAUUAAUCUAAUUACUAGAUUAAUAUGUGAAGGCACACGACUCAAUGGUUAGAGCAUUGGGCUCACAAUUAUGAGGUAGUGAGUUCGAUUUCCAGACCGGGUUGUGUGUUGUGUAUUUGAGCAAGACACUUUAAUUUCAUGUUGCUCCAGUUCAUGCAGCUGUAGAAAUGAGUUAUGAUGUCACUAGUGCCAAGCUGUAUCGGUGUUUGCCUUUCCUUUGCAUAAUAUCAGUAGUGUGGAGUGGUGAGGCUGGUAUGCAUGGGUGACUGCUGGUCUAGCAUAAACAACCUUGCCUGGACUUGUGCCUUGGAGAGGAACUUUCUAGUUGCAAUCCCAUGGUCAUUCAUGACCGAAGGAGUUCUUUACAUUAAUAUGGUGAAGUAUAUAGUGGGUGUGGAGGUGCAAUGGCCCAGUGGUUAGGGCAGCGGACUCGCGGUCGUAGGAUCGCGGUUUCGAUUCCCAGACUGGGCGUUGUGAGUGUUUAUUGAGCGAAAACACCUAAAGCACCACGAGGUUCCGGCAGGAGUGGUGGCGAUCCCUGCUGUACUCUUUCGCCACAACUUUCUCUCACUCUUUCUUCUGUUGGCCUGCUUGCUUAGCCAGCAGGGUGGCAUCAUUUGAAGGCUAAAACAAUGCAAAGCGCACUGUGACCAGCGAUGUGUAGCAACAUCUAAUAGCCUGGUCAGUCACGGUGAUAUAGUGGGUAUCUUCAUCAAUCAAAAUUGAUCUCACAUCUGCACAAGUAUGUACCGACUUGGGUAAAAUUUCUCAAAGAAGACUGGCUGUUGCCCAUACAUGCAUGUCUCUCUUCACCAGGUCAUCAGUGUUCAUCCAAGAGAAAGACAACUGACUUGGGCUCAUACAGUCUGGCACCAGCGUUGUCAAAGACGUUGCUGCCAGAACACAAACAGCUUGAACAGAUACUGCAAGUCAUCUUUCCUGACCCUCUUUCAUUUCUACAAAUCCAACACACCAAAUUGAUGCUCCUUUUAUAAACCUCAAAAGGAUGAAAGGCAAGGUUUAUCUUGGUGAGAUUUGAACUCGUGUGCAAAGAGUUGAAACAAAUGCUGUGAGGCAUUCUGCCCAAACUGAAGGAAUUGGUAAAUCUGAUGGGGGAAAUGUACUACCAAGAAGUUCAGAGGAGCAGAAAUCAUCUUACAUAAAAUGAUAGUAUUUUGUAUUUUUCUGUCUCUGUCUGUCUGCAUGCCUGCCUGCCUGCUUCUCUCCCUACCUCUCUCUCACUGUCUGUCUCUCUAUAUCCUUACAUGCACAUCAAAGGCAAUUAACUGCUAUGAUAUUUUUAUUGCCUGUUUCAUUAAAACAAAAUACAAACAUACAGGUUGUUUAGUUAACUAAUAUUCUAUAGAUAUACAUUUAACUUUCCAUGUAUAAAUUGCAUGUAGUUAUAUAACUCUAUGUAUAUUUCAUUAUUUAUUUAAUGAUAAAAUUGCAGCAUCUUUUUUAAUCAAUUAAUCCCUUUAAAUGCAGCCGGCUGCAAGUAAUUAAAUAUGAAACUGAACGUCCAUUACCCAUGGAUAUUCCACCAGUGCUUACUAGUUAUAGUAAGUGUAGGAGAGAGAGAGAGAGAAAGUGGUGGGGGGACAUAUGGAUGAUUGAUUAGCUUUUUAAAGUGUUAGUAAAAUAAAUGCUGCCUUUUCAUAUGGAUAACUAUUGUAUGUAUGUAACCUAUGAUGUGGCUUGUUCUAGUUCACAUAUGUGAGCAAUACUUAAGGGUGGUUCCUGAAUUUAAACAGCUGUUCAAAGCUUCUUCAUUCUUUGCCAUAAUGUCUUUCUGCCUAUAUAUAUAUCUUCACAGCAGAAACAUUCAUCUUAUCUUUCAUUUAUUUUUUUAUAUAUUUAUUAUUUUUUUUAUAUAUUUAUUAUUUUAUAAAUUUUGUCUUAUGAAACCAUAUUUAUUCCUGACCAAGUUUCUAAUAUCAAAUCCACUAUGCUAAAUGAAUAUAUAAAUUCCUAAAUGCAAAAAUGAACGCUCUAAUCUGGUUGAGAUUUAAUAUUUCAAUUUUAAUGUAUUCAAUAGUAUAUUUAAGAUCCUCUUUGAUUUGACUUGCAAAUCUAGGUUUUGUGAACAUUUCAAAAGAAAUGAUAUUCUAAUAUUUGAUUGAUUUAUCUAUUUAUUUAUUCAUUCAGUUUUUCUUUUGUUUGUUUGUUUUAAUCUCUUGUUUCACUAUUUCAAUGAUGUGCUGUUCUACUUUGAACAUGUUUAACAGAGGUUUUAGGUUACUAUGAAUUAAAUUCAAUCAAUCAUGAAUCAGUUUUACCUUUCUUUUAUAAACUUAUUCUUUUACUAAUUGUGGUCAUUGGACUUUAGCCAAGCUGGGGUACCCACUUCAAGAGUUUAGGUGAUUGCAUUUACCCACCCCACUUUGCAGCUCUUGAUUCAUACUUAUUUCCCCUCUGUGCCACUUAGAACCUCCUUCCCCCACCUCCAUUGUUCCCUGUCUCUGUGUGUCUUUCUCACUCUCUCUCUCUCUCUCACACCUCCCUCUGCUUCCUUGUCUUACCAGAGUAGCCAAGUAUCUCCACCGUAGUAAGACAGCUAUCUCUAUCGCCUCUCAAACUCAAACUUCUCACCUGAUGCAUAGCCACAUAAAAAAGAAAAGAUCAGUGCCAGCACCAUGUAAAAAGCACCAAAUACAUUCUGUAAGGUGCUUGGUGCUAGGAAGGGCAUCCAGCUGUAGCAACCAUGCCAGAAUAGACAACUGUUGUCUGGUGCAGCCCUCUGGUUUGCAAGCUCCAAUCAACCCAUACAACCCAAGCCAGCAUAGAAAGCAGGCAUUAAAUAAUGAUGUUUGAAAUUGCAAUUGUGGCCAAUGCCAAUGUCCUGUAACUGGCAUGUAAAAAGCACCCUUCAAAUGUUGGGUGAUAUGCUGUGCUUGAGAAGACCUGUCAAGCCAAGUGAAAUUGUAGAUAUGGCAGACGUCAGUGCUGCAUAACUGGCACCUGUGGUGGUGGCAUGUAAAAUGCAUCCUUCAAAUUUUGGGCCUUACGGAAGCAGUGACAAGUGACCGAGACCUUUGGCAAUAUACUGUGCUUGAGAAGACUUGUCAAGCUAAGUGAGAUCAUAGUCAUGGCCAAUACUAGUGUUUCAUAACUGGCACCUGUGCCAGUGGCAUGUAAAAAGCACCCACUACACCCUUGGAGUGGUUGGCGUUAGGAAGGGUAUCCAGCUGUAGAAACCAUGCCAAAGCAGACUGGUGCAGCUCCCCAGCUUACCAGCUUGAUCAAACUGUCCAACCCAUGCCAGCAUGGAAAACAGACAUUAAAUGGUGAUGAUGAUGAAUAGCAAAGAUGACCUGUGCAAGAAUUUAAAUCGAAAUAUUAAAAGGAUGUAAUUACAUAUCACAAAGUACUCCAUAUAAUGUUUACCUAUUUUCUCAUCAACUAUCCUUCUUUAUGCUGUAGGUAUAUUAGUCUCUUUGAAUAUACAUAUUAACUGUUUGAAAUUUUUAUAUGAGGUUAUCUGAAGUUACUGUCUUCUAAAACUUUAGACUUCAUUGUGUUAAAUGUUGUUAUUUUCUGGAAACCCUGACAUUUUAUGAUCUGGCAUUUAUUUUUUUUUCCCCCCUAUUUUUUUUUUCUUUCGAUUUGCCAUAAUAUAAAAAUGAAUUUAAAUGCACUGAAUACAAAAACUGGUGAAUGUGAGGUAUAUGAACUAUACACGCAUGUAUUCUGCUUUUCCUUUGAUUUUUCACUAAUUGUGAAUACAUUAAGUUGCUUUUAGAAUAUAUAGAAUAUAGCUAAGUGCAUAGAGAGCAAGACUCAUUUCCCUUCAUUAAUAACCGAUGCUUUCAAAUUGCUGACUUGCUUUCUGUUAUUGUUUUCAAAACAUUUGACUUCCAUUAUCUCAGGGUAGCUUUGGUUGAAUAAAUGCAAAAGUUUUGAACAUUUACAUGCAAACAUGGAGCUACUUUUGCACUUACUACAUAGAUAUUACCAUCUCUAUCUUAAAAGUAAUAGUACUGUUUUCCAGAUUGGCUUUAGUAUGGCUGUGUGGUUAAGAUGUUGACCCUGCAACUACAUGGUUCUGGGUUCAGUCCCACUGCAUGAGUCUCUGGACAUCAAAUGUCUUCUACAAUAGUUUCAGGUUGACCAAAGCUUUGUAAAUGAAAUUUGGCACAUGGAAACUGUAUGGAAGCCUGUCAGGAAAGCCAUUUGUAUUCUUUGUUGGUAGGUUUAAGCUGUCAUUCAAAUAAACAUUACUACUUGCCCCUUGAGUGUCUUUUAAUAUAGUCCACUCUGUUGUAAACAUUUAUGUCAGUUCUCCAAUAUGAAGAAGAUAACUUUCUCUGUUUCAUCCACCAUUCUCAGAAAACGGUAAUGAACAUUACCAUUGUAAGACUUCCCAAAAAUUUUUUUUAAUAUAAAAAAUCUAACGAGGGAAACAUAAUGCUAUCAAUUUUAAAGAUUGAACUCUUGACUUUCAGAUCAUGUAAUCAGUAUUUUUAACUACUGAACUCACUACAUUCUUUUAUGUUAUAAAUAUAACUUUUAUAAACUUAUUUAAACUUCUUCAGUGUGUGAGUUGAAUUAUUGACAGAAUUGUCAACAUAUUUUUACAUUUUUAUUUCCUCUGCAGGAAUCGGUUAGAUAAACGUGUCUUCACAAGACAUUGUCAUCUUUGUACUCAUGACAAACUUGUCAGAUGUACUGUCUGUCUGACUUCAACUGAAGCUCUGUUGAAGGAUGCACUUCUUAGUGCUGACAUUUUAGCAUGAAUCAAGUUAGAUUUUAUUGUAUUUGAGCAAAUCUUCAGUUAAUAUUUCAUUAUACAUUCACUAGUAAACACUGAACAUUGUAUGUGAGCAAUACUUUCCCUUUCUGUUAGUUUCUCUCCCUUUCAUAUCUUCUCUCUCUCUCUUUCUCUCUCUCUCUCUCUCGCUCUCUCUCUCUCUCUCUCUCUCGCUCUUUCGCUCUCUCUCUCCAUUUCUUUCUAAUCCUUUUUGUACAAGUCAUUAGACAAGGAGUUUGUUCCAAACAUGCAUAUGCAUAGGCUUGUAUAUAUGUAAGAGACAGAAAUAAGAAAAGGGGAAGAAAGAGAGAAACAAACAGACAGAAUGAUGGAGAGAAGAUAAAGUAAUAGAAUUAAGCUUCCAGGUAUAGCUUUAUUGGAUAAAGAACACAACAAAUAGAUUCUUCUACUGGUUUCAGUUACUGAGUUAAUGGCCCCACUUUUAACACACAGCCUUCAAAGUGUGAUAUGAUGUAGCAGUCACAAGUCCAAGGAAGACUGCACUUCAUGUCAAUAUUAGUAUCACUUAAGGCGAUGAGUUGACAGAAUUGUUAGGACGUUGGGCAAAACGCUCAAUGACAUUUCAUCUGUCUUUGUGUUCUGAGUUCAAAUUCCGCCAUGGUCAACUUUGCAUUUCAUCCUUUCAGGGUCAGUAAAAUAAGUACCUGUUGAGCACUGGAGUCAAUGUAAAUUGCUGGCCUUGUGCCAAAAUUUUAAAUCAAUAUUAGUGUUACCCUCAAGUUUUCAAGAAACCUAUCCAUGUGCAUUCUGUUUUUGGUAUGCUGAAUGUUUCCCAUGCAGGUCUUUUUUGUGGGAUGUUAGUUCAGUUUCUUUGGGAUUGCAUGGGCAUCAGGAAGAAAGUACUUUCUGAAGAGCUCACUGCCAACAUGUAGGAUGUUCUCUUUGCAUUUCAGUAUUUAAGUUCAUAUGUUUUUACCGCUGUUGUUUAGCAAGUGUUGUCUGAGAGAUACUGUUCAACAUUCGAAUGUCUGCAUUGAUUUGAAGCCUCUGCCUCCUUCAUCUCUUCUUAGGUAAAACCUUUCGAUAUCAACAUUUUUGUUGAAGUUUCCACAUAAUGAUAAGAUCUUGCAGGUUUUAAUUUCUAUGGAAUAGAUUUCCUCUGCAGACCAGUCAAGCAUCCCAAAUGUUAGAAUCAGCACUGGUACUGAAAAUGCAUUUUGGGAUAUUGUCUUGAUGUAAGAGAAGAGUUCUGACUGCCAUAUUUUUCUGAAUCUGAUGUAAUAUUACUGGGUCAUUCUAUCUUUAUUCACACUUUCAUAUACCGUUUUCAUCAAUGCCUAGAUAUUUGUAGCAUUCUUUGUGUGCAACAGGAAAGACAAGGAGACUGUUGAUACAUAGGCACUGGGUUUGUGGUACUGAUUUUCCAUGUUCAACAGUCAACUAUGAACAUUUCUUUUGGCCAAAUUCCAUUCCUGUGUCAGCUGAAAAUGUUGUAAUUAACUCCAGCUGUUUUUUUGGCAUUGUAAGCAUUCUUAGCUCUUUAGGUCAACCACAAAGAAUAUAUUGGUAUCUGUAGCAGUUGCAAACCCUAGUUAUGUGUCAGAAAUGAUAAUAGAUUUAUUGCCAAAAUAAACAGAAUUACAGAAAAAUUAUAUACUUAGAAUAUUCUCUUUCAUAUGUAAUGUAGAAUGUUUGUAUGUAUAGAAUGAGAUCUAUCCAAAAAAGAAACAGAUUUAUCUUAAAAACAAAAUCAUUGCUUUACUUAAAGUUUAAACGAAACUGUUUCCUUCAAAAUGUCUCCCUCCUUUAAUGAUACAUUUUUCAAUCCCCCACCUCAGGUUUGAAAUGCAUCCUAGAACAAUUUUUUUUUUCUGGGCACUGCUCAGUUCUUUAAUUUAUUCUAUGAUCUGAUAUCAGUUACUUUUCAGAUUGGAUUUAAACUUUUGGAUCAGGAAAUUCUCUCUCCUGAGAGUAGGGUGGUUAGGAAUUUGAAUAUUUUUGUGUUUUACCAAAAUGUGAUGAAUAAGGAGUGAUAUGCUAGGGUGUUACCAUGCCAUAGUAUCUAGGUUUUGUUUGUCCAUACUUCUGACAUCUUUUGUAUUGCUUCUUCCAAAAUGCUUCUGGGCAUCCAAAUGAAAUUUUUCAUUGGCCAUGUAGAACUAAUUCAUAAUGAGCAACACUCUUCCCAUCAGAAAGAAUAUUGUCAUCAUUACCUUAACAUUUGAGCAACUAUCAAGUGCUUUAUUUGUUUGUGGAGUUGCAGUGAUGAUAAUCCAGUGUACUGUGACUAUUAUCAUUUUGUAUCAGCAACAUUGUUAUACACUCAUGUUUCACCACUUGCUAUGACACUUUUCAGAAAGUUUUUAUCAGUAUUCGAAUUAUCAAACAGCUCUUGGCACUCGAAGAGCAGACUUGGCAUGCUUUUCUUUUUAAAUCAUGCAGUAUGAACUUAUGCAGAUGCCUAACCUGGCUGUCCACCAGUUAUGAUGAUGAGGUGUUCGAAUUGAUAAGAUCAAUGUAAUAGCCUGCUCAUGAAAUUAGCAUUUAUGUGACUGAGCAAUCCAUUGGCAUGCAUACUUUUAAUGUAGUUCUCAUGGAGAUUCAGCACAACUUACCAAAUUUGAUAAGGUAAUUACAGGUACAAAUCAUUUUUACCAGCUGAGUGGACAGGAGCAACAUGAAAUAAAGAGUCUUGCUCAAGGACACCACAUACCACCAGGAAUCGAACUUGUGAUCUUAUGAUCAUGGAUAAUUCUCUAACCAAUAAAAACCACCUGUCUACCUCUUCAGAAACUUCAUGGAUAGUUUGGUGAGGAUUUUCAUGUAUCACAGCACACACUUUCACCAUGUAAUCAUCGUCCAUUGUCAUAGAAGAUUGCCCAGAUUUGGGAUGGUUAUUUACAGAUAGAGAGAGGGUGAGAGAGCAACAAAGAAGGAUCAACUUUAGUACUUCACUGAUACUUUGUUUUUUUUUUUGGGGGGGGGGUUACUCCAGAAGGAUAAAACUCCAAGCUGACCUCAGCAGGAUUUGAGCUCAGAGUGCAGUGACAUAACAAAUACAGAAAGGCAUUCAAUCCAAUGCUUCAAUAACUUUGCCAAUCUGCAAUCUCUCUCUCCCUCCAUGUGUGUAUAUAUAUAUAUAUAUAUAUAUAUAUAUAUAUAGGCGCAGCAGUGGCUGUGUGGUAAGUAGCUUGCUAACCAACCACAUGGUUCCGGGUUCAGUCCCACUGCGUGGCAUCUUGGGCAAGUGUCUUCUGCUAUAGCCCCGGGCCGACCAAUGCCUUGUGAGUGGAUUUGGUAGACGGAAACUGAAAGAAGCCUGUCGUAUAUAUGUAUAUAUAUGUGUGUGUUUGUGUGUCUGUGUUUGUCCCCCUAGCAUUGCUUGACAACCGAUGCUGGUGUGUUUGCGUCCCCGUCGCUUAGCGGUUCGGUAAGGGAGACCGAUGGAAUAAGUGCUGGGCUUACAGGGAAUAAGUCCCGCGGUCGAUUUGCUCGACUAAAGGCGGUGCUCCAGCAUGGCCGCAGUCAAAUGACUGAAACAAGUAAAAGAGUAAAGAGUAUAUAUAUAUAUAUAUAUAUAUAUAUAUCCACACACUCUCUCACACACAUGAGAGAGAGAGAAAUAAUGCAAUGUGGCAAAUAGGAUCGAAGCAAGGGAUACUAAUACAAUUUAAUAGUUGCUGCUUUCCUUUCUGUAUAGUAAAAUCAGGACUUAAAACGAAUUAUUUAUAUUGCUUUUGAAAAUUAAUUGUAACAUUAUAAUGCAUUUUGAAAUACAUUUUUGAUUCUCUCUUAAAUUUUUUUUAAAAUUUUCUCCCAGUUGAAUAAUAUGUAUUUUCUUUUUUUUAAUUUUUAUAAUUUUUAUUUAUUUAUUUUUGCACUGAUAUUGUGAAAACUAUAUUUAUAGAAUUUCAAAAGAUCUAAUCUUAGUUUUCUCUGGGAAUGGGAUGAGUUUGGUUGGAAACAUUCACUAUUUUAAGGUUGUCUGAAAUAUUAUGUAAAAAAACUAAAAAUUUCCUAUUAAGUAAAAUCUAAAAACAUUUGUGUUUUAGAGUAUAAUAUUUGGGAUUUUAUUUUUUCCACAACACUAUAUUUUAUCUUAUUUCAGUGUAUAAUAAUUUCCCUGUACGUGAUAUGUUUGUAUGUAUAAAGUAUGUGUGUGUGUGUAUGUAUGUAUGUAUGUAUAUAUAUAUAUAUAUAUAUAUAUAUAUAUAUAUACAUACAUAUGUAUGUAUGAAUAUGCAUGUGUGUGUGUAUUUUAUAUAUAUUUGUAUAUUAGUACGUAUGUAUGCACUACCAUGUUGUUCAUAUUCUACUUGUAAUAUGAACCCAAGUUCAUACUUGAUAAAGAUUUAAAACUUCAAAAAUAGAAAUUGAAAAUUUUUCCUAUUCACAUUAGAAAUUUUGAAAAAGCAGAUGAUUAAUUUUUUUUUUUUUUUAAGUUUAAAAAAAAAUAACUGUUAAAUACUCGAAGUCUAUUGCCAUUAUAUUUGCAGUAUAUCAUAAAAUUUCAAUGUAAUAUAAUAGAUUUUUUUCUUCCAUGUUACUAAGUUAACAGUGAAAAUAUGUUUUGUAUAAUUUCAUAAAAAUGUGUUUCUUCCAUCAGUUUUAGCUGUGUUUCCUUCCAGCUUUGUGAAAUAUUACAUGCCAAGCACUUUAGAGCAGGAUUUAAUGCUUUAGCAUUUAAACUGGCCAUAUCCAGCCCCUAAUAUCAUACCUGUGUUAUGUUCAAACUGGUCAAAUCUGGCCUCUCAUACCAACCCUACAAUGUCAUUCUAAAAAUAAACAAUCACAUCAUUGAAAUCUUUAAACUGUGAGAUAAUGCUGGAUUAAUUCAAAACAAUAUGAAUAGAUAAGCUUUAUGAGGGGUUACUGAAAAUUUUCUGGCUUUCAGGGUAUCACAAAAGACCAGGCUGGAGGUCCAACCUUCUGAGUUCUUUUACAGGGCUUAGAAAAACUGAAAGAUUGCUGUGGCUGCAAUAUGUGUGUGUAUCUGAGAUAGGAAUAUGUUGAAUAAAAUAAUAAUUUACCGAUUCUCCUGUGUUUUCUCUUACCCAGCGCCAGAAAGUUUUCUAGCCCCUCCUCGUACAUUUAACAGGGUAAUCUGAAUGCUAAAGGGUUACAGUUCUAUUGAUCCAUCCUUGCACUACACCCUGCUUUCACUUUUCAUACUCUCUCUUUUACUCUUUUACUUGUUUCAGUCAUUUGACUGCAGCCAUGCUGGAGCCCCACCUUUAGUCGAGCAAAUCAACCCCCAGAACUUAUUCUUUGGAAGCCUAGUACUUAUUCUAUCGGUCUCUUUUGCCGCACUGCUAAGUUACGGGGAUGUAAACACACCAUCAUCAGUUGUCAAGCGAUGUUGGGGAGACAAACACACACACAUACAUACAUACAUAUAUAUAUAUAUAUAUAUAUAUAUAUAUAUAUAUAUAUAUAUACGACAGGCUUCUUUCAGUUUCCGUCUACCAAAUCCACUCAAGGCUUUGGUUGGCCCGAGGCUAUAGAAGACACUUGCCCAAGGUGCCAUGCCAUGGGACUGAACCCGAAACCAUGUGGUUGGUAAACAUGCUACUUAUCACACAGCCACUCCUGCGCCUAUGUGCAUGCUUUUCAUUUCAUUUCAUUUAUGUGGCUAAUAUCACCUGAUAAGGCAUCACUGUCAUAUUCUUAUUUGUUCCCAACCACCUCACUAAAGUCAAUGAUUGAUCACUUUUUCAUGGCUAUCUGUCAUUUUGAUCAGCUCAUAAGUUGUUUUAUUGGUUUCAAUUAUUGUCAUGUACCCAUGCUGAGCAGCCUUUACAGGUUUAACUGAUCAGAUUAGUCCCGAUACUUAUUUUAAGUCCUUUAUUUAUUCUACUGGUCACUAUUUUACUGAAGCACUAAAUCACAAGGACAUGCACAAUGCAACUUAACCCUUUUACUGUGGAAAGAUAUAUCCACUCAGAAUUAAUACCCUUAAUUACAGAAAGCAGUUUUAUAUACCAAUCUAUCAUUUGUUGAGGAAUGUCAUGUUUGAACCUAUUUUCUGUUGAAAUAUGUCAAGUUUAUUGAAACAACAUGACUUGCAGAAAAUAUCAACUGUAUGUUUUUGGUAGUUAUUUGAUAUCAUUACUAGAAUAGCUAUAUCAGGAUAGCAGGGGAAAAAAAUAUGAAACUGCGCAUGCACACACACACGCAUUUAUAUAUGUGACAGCUAAUGCACAGUCCCCACCUAUCAAAUUCACUCACAAGGCAAUGGUCAACUCAAUGGUGUAGUAAAUGACAAUCAUCCAAGGUGCUGCACUGAAUCCAAAACCAUGUGAUUUUUAAACCUGACCUGAUUGGCCAUCACAUGAGCUCUUUGAUAUUAAGAUUUACUUGAUUGAAACCAAAUUUAAGGCUGAGCAUCAUCUAGCUUUUCUUUGCUAAAAUGUGAGAUUGUAGCAGGUAAGAUGUGUCAAGUUUUGAAUGAAUGAGUGAGUAAAUGAAUCAAUAUAUCUUCUCUGUUACUACCUUACACAAGGAGGUGCAGAAAAGUUCCUGACUUUGGGUAAAAGAAAAUACAAGAGGGUCUGUUAAUUAUGAUUUUAUUCAAUGUACUCUCCUCUCAGAUUCACACACUUAUUGCAAUGGUCCUCCAAUUUUCCUAAGCCCUGUAAAAGAACUGAGAAGAUUGGGCCUCCAAAUAGAGCUUUUGCAAUACCCUUAAAACCAUGAACUUUUCAGGAGCCCCUCAUAUAUGAAUGUAAUAACCCAUUUCCCACCUUGCACCAUUUAGUUAAAUUCACAAUACAAUUUGACUUACAGGUAAAUAGUACCUGCACCAGUGUCAUGUAAAAAGCAUCCGGUACCCUCUGUAAAUUGGUUGAUGUUAAGAAGGGCAUCUAGUCAUAGAAACCAUGCUAGAACAGACAACUAGUGUCUGGCCCAGCUAUCUGGCUGGCUAGCUCCUGUCAAACCAUCCAACCCAUGCUAGCAAGAAAAACAGAUGUUAAAUGAUGAUGAUGAUGUGGUUGGAAGUCAAUUCACUUCGCAUUCACUGUUCAUGCUCUUGAUAGAGAAAUUGAUAUCACACAACCUCUUACUUACUUUGCCCUCCCUAAAUUGAGAUGUAAAGAAAUUAUUUUAUACGAUAUGAUAAAUUUUUGUAUUGUCAAGAUCACUGCAAAAAAUAUAUUUUAAAAAAGGAAAUUUUUUUUUUAAUAAAAAAAGAAGUUAGAUUCUUGUGAAAAUUUGAAGCUUUUUAGUAGUUUCAUUUCUAUUCAGCUGUCACAAGUCUCUUGAUACAUUUAAACAUUAUAGAUAAAAAAUAAUAUUCAUGAUUUAAAAACCAAAAUAUCAUAUAUGAUUAUCUAGCAGCACAGUUGUUUUUUCUUUCUUUCUGUUUUUUUCUUUUUUUUUGUCUUUUGAGUUUCCUUAAAUGUCUUAAAGAAAUUCCCACACUGCCAAGGAAAAAAAAAAUCUCAAAAUCUGUUUUUAACACUUCAGAUGGAAUGAUAAAACAACUUCAACUGUAUAAGAUAAAAUCUGUUUCAGUUAAAAUAUGAUAACUAUCUAUGACUUAAAAUAUUGAUGCUAGAGAUGAAUGUAAUACUUGCAAAAGCGACAUUUUAGGUAAUACUUUAAACAUGGUUUGAGAAAGAAAAGUUAGAGUGUAACUUUAUUAUUCAGUAGUCAUACUUUUUAUUAUUAUUAUUAUUAUUAUGGCGGUAAGCUGGCAGAAUCAUCAGCAUGCUCGACGAAAUGCUUUGCUGUAUAUCACCUGUCGCUACAUUCUGAGUUCAAAUUCUGCCACGGUCAACUUUACUUUUCAUCCAUUCAAGGUCGAUAAAAUAAGUACCAGUUUUCUACUAGGGUCGAUGUAAUCAACAAAUCUCCUCCCCGAAAUUUUAGGCCUUGUGCCUAUAGUAAAACGGAUUAUUAUUAUUAUUAUUAUUAUUAUUAUUGAGACAAGCUGAGAGAAUUGAUGUUUAGUAGCAUUUCAUCCAUCUCUUCAGUCUCUCUCCAGAGAUUGAAUUCUACUGAGGUCGAUUUUAUCUUUCAUCAUUUCAGGGUUGAUAAAAUAAGUACCAUUUGAGUAUUGAGGUUGAUGUAAUCAACUUGGUCCCUCCCACCGAAACUGCUGGCCUUGUGCCAAAAUCUGAAACCAUUAUUAUUAAGGCGGCAAGCUGGAAGAAUCAUUAGUAUGCCGAACAAAAUGCUAAGCAGCAUUUCUUCAAGCUGUUUACAUUCUGAGUUCAAAUUUUGCCAAGGUCAACAUUGCAUUUCAUCCCUUUGAGUCCAUGAAGUACCUGUCAAAGUACUAGUGUUGACGUAAUCAACUAUCCCCUUUCCUAAAAUUGUUGGCCUUGUACCAAAAUUUGAAACAAACAAAUAAACAACAAUAUCAGCAACAUGAAUAAUAAUAAUAAUAAUAAUAAUGAUCCUUUGUAUAAUAGGUACAAGGCCUGAAAUAUGGGGGAAGGGGGCUAGUCAAUUAUAUCGGUCCCACUACUCAACUGGUACUUAUUUCCUUGACCCCCGAAAGGAUGAUGAAAGGCAAAGUUGACCUUGGCAGCAUAUUAACUCAGAACAUGAAGACAGAUGAAAUACUGCUAAGCAUUUCACCUAGCAUGCUAAUGAUUCUUCCAGUUCGCUACCUUAAUAAUAAUCCUUUUUAAUAUAGACACAAGGUCUCAAAUUUUGGGGUAGGGGACUAGUCGAUUAUAUCGACCCCAGUGUUUCGCUGGUACUUAAUUUAUUGACCCCAAAAGGAUGAAAAGCAGAGGUGACCUUGGUAGAGAGAGAGAGAAAGCAGCAUGUCCAUGAACAGGAAGCUAAAGUGUGUCUGUUAGCAAGUUAAUGUCUAGUGGAAUCAUAUCAAGGGUGGACAAAAUGUCUUGUGAUAUUUGUUUCCAACUUCUUUUUGCUCUGAGUCCAAAUCUUACCUAGGUCAACUUUGUUUUUCAUCUUUUUAGAGUUGAUUAAAUAAAGUACAAAACCAAGGUUGUAGUUCAGUGGAAUUGUUAGAGUACUGGAAAAAAAAAACAAAGGCUUUAUGGUAUUCAUUCCAGCCCUUUGCCUUCUCAAUACCCAGGUUGAUCUAAUGAAUUUGUUUGCCGCUAGUUAGAAAUAUUUUGUAAAAGGAAAUUAAAAAAAGCAAAAAAAAAAAAAAGAAAGACAGACAGGGGGAAACUCUUAAUAUUCUUCCACAAAAAUUCAAUGACAAGGGCACAGACAGCUUUUGUCAAAGAAGUCAUAAGAAGCAUUCAUUGACCUGAUUGCUUAAGAAUUAAUUUGCAUUUCUUGGCAGAUCAACACAAUGAUUUACAUUUUAAGUCAUUCUCAUGUUCAGUUGUCAAACCUCUUCAUAAGUAUUGUAUCACCACAGAUCGAUUAUUGUUUUUCUUUAUAUAUUAUGUAGUUGUAUUGUCAACUAUAUACCUCCUUUAUAAUGCAAAAGAACUUCUUGUAUAUAAAUGUUGUUCUACUUAAGCCAAUAGGCCUCUCCCAAAUUUUUUGUAUAUCUUCAAUGGCAAAUUCUAACAUACAGUUACCAUAAAUAUCCUCCGUUCAAUGUUUGUGUGUUUUCAUGAUCUAGUAACCCUGUUUUGUUUUAUCUUGUUUUUAUUAAAUACCAUUCCCUUUUGACAUUUUUUAUAUUUUGUGAACUGGGUCUACAAUAGUUAAGUUUCUCUAUAAAAAACACAACACCGUAUCUGUAAAAAGAUAUAAUCUAUUGGUUCUAGUGUAGCUAGGGUGGCACUUUUAAAAGGAAAGCUCUUUUGGGUCUGCUAUAGGCAAUAUGUGUUUUUUGUGGGGUUCGGGGGCGGCAAAGGGAAGGGCUGCUCCAGGCAGCACACACUCUAGCUACACUAGUCUCUAUUGGCCUUUCAACCAUUUGGUUGGCUUUCAAACUCAACAGUUCUUACACAUACACACACACACACACACACACACACAUCGUUAAUAUCCAUGCAUUCAUGUCAGCAUACCAAUAUAUUUCCUCAGAAACUUUUACUUUUAUCAUUUAUGAGACCUAAUAUUUUCUGUGACUGACCUAGUUAUUUUUAUGAGGCCUAACAUUUCGUGUUUGACCUAGUUAAGUUUCAGUCUUCCUUGCUUGGACGCUUUCUUACCUUCUCCCAUCAGAGGUAAGCAAUUAUGUAUUCACUAAACUCUCUUCCAUUCACAUGUCUAAACCAGACAAGAAGUGUUAUCAUCUCUUCUACAUACUAUCAACUUGUGAUGUUUUUGUUGCCGAAAUUGAUUUCUCAAUUAAAAUUAAAAUUCAACCAGUUAAGAUGUGCAUAUCUAAUUCAUCUUUAAUCACUGUAGUUGAACCAGCAAAGGAGUGUCUGAGGCACCAUUCAAUGUGCUAGAAAUAGCAGGUAAAUUUUGUUUGAGAUCAUACCCUAUUAUUACAAAAGAAAAGUGUGUAUAGGAGUGGAAUGGGAUAAUGUAGUCAAAUUACUGUCUGGGAAGGAGAUGGUAAUGUCAUAGCUGGAACAUCUUUGAUUAUAAGCCUGUUCACUCAGCGCUGACUUGCAGCUAACUAAACAACAUUAAGAAAUAAAAAUCAAUGUAAAUCCUGUGUAUUACUCCCCUUCUUUCAAUGCCACUUCUUGUUUGUUGUGUUGUUUUUUUGUUUGUUUGGCAAUCAACCCUUUCUCAAGAAUGGAGAUAAUAAUUCUCUAAACAAUUUUCCUCUCUCUCAACCCUCAUUAAUUAUGCUGUCACUAACUUCAUGUAUUACUGAGAACUUUGCCUGCUAUGAGUCAAUGGAGUCUCUAUUAAAGUUGGAGAUGGUACAUCUGUAGUUAAAAGAUAUGUCGUCACCCCUUUGCCUUUCUAUUAAUUUUGUAGGGAUAAAAUUCCAGAAUGCUGCUGUUCAUCUUGGAGAGAAUCAAGCAAAAUCUUUGGUGCAGGGUUUGGUGGAUGAAGUAUACGAGGGGGUACCUAAAAGAAACUGGAAUAUUGCAAUAUUAUUCUAUUCACUUAGUUUUACAUGUUGACACUUUUACCGCCUUCAAAGGAGUUUCCAUUUGAAGCAAUGCAUCAGUCCAGAUACGUUUUCUACUGUUGGAAGCAUUGCUGCAACUCUUGCGAAGUGAUGCUUUUUAAUGCCUCUAUUGUUUUUUAUUCACCCCUUCCACAUUUGCAAAUUCUGUAGCACCAGCUUUCGUCACCAGUGAUGACCUUUGAAAAAAGGUCAGGAUCAACUUCUAGCUGUUCUUUCAGUUCAUGACAUUGAUCUUCCGCGAGCAAGCAAGGCACAAAUUUUGUUGCAACUCUUUUCAUUUGUAAUUCCUCACUCAAAAUUUGGUAGCAGGAGCUCUAGGACACACCAGUCAUAUUAAUAAGUUUGUCAAUUGUUCAGUAAUGGUCCUCUGAGAUCAAUUCAUGAAUUUUCAUGCUUUCAUUUGCUUGGACGGUCAAUCGUGGCCCUGAAUGAGGUUGGUCCUCAAGUAACAAGUGACCAUUCCUAAAGUGUGAAAACCACUCGUAAGCUUGUUUUGCUCCUGGCAAUGUCCUUGUAAGCUGUUUGAAGCAUGACAACAGUUUUGGCCAUUUCCCCCAGCAGAAAGCAGAAUUUCAUGGAAACAGACUGUUCCUUCAUUUCAGCCAUUGCAAAAAUCGAACAGGGGAGAAGCACUGCAAAACAGAUGCACUAUGUGGCAGUACUUCAUCACUAGAUGACACUGGUUGGCAGACUGAUGCACGAGGGUCGCAUCAAGUGGCUUCUAGCUGUUGAAGCCUGAAUUACCAUGGGCUUGUCCCACAGAGGACGUUUCCAGUUACUUUUGGGUACCCCCUUGUAAUAGAGAUGAGUAGAACAAAAGCAUGUUAAUCAGGUGCUAAGAUAUAGCAUGCUGCUUGAUAGUUCAGUAAGAAGAUAUAAUGCAACAAUGGGCUCGUGGUUGUUGCAUUUUGUUCCAUAAACCUCUGCCAUCCAUGUGGCUGCCUUGUAUUUGGACACAGUGUAGGAUAUUUAUGGGUUCAUGUGAUCCACUAGUGCAGUUCUUUAUAUGAAACACUGGUCAGAGCUGAAAUAUUUUGCAGGUCCUAAAAAUAAAGCCUAGCAUUUGGAAUAUAGAUUUGGUAAUUUUAUAGAUAUAUAAUUUUGAUGAGAGAUCAUCAAAUACUUUGAACAUGAGGAUUUGUAGUAGCCGUGAGCAGUUCAUGAGUAGAAAGGACACAAUUCAAGACUGUUUCUUUGAUAUUAAUGCUAUUGAGGAUAGGCACAAGGGGUUUCUAUGUUUUUGUUCAUAGAAACGAUGGAAGUUUGGCUUGGAUUAUCUGGAUUGCAUGCUUAUGUCAUGUGUGUAGAAUGUUAUAUAGUGAUGUUUUGUAACUUGGUCAUUAAGUGCGUGUAAGACCUCAGAAGUGAUAACGAGAUCAUUAAUUUACAGAAGAGUUUAGGUGCAUUUUUUAAUUCUUGAGGCCCACUAGAAUUAACAGAAGUUAGAAAGAUCCCCCUUGAUGUGUACAGAAAUGGGGUUGUAAAUUUCCAAUCAAUUUGAUGAGAGAUGGCUGAAAAUCAUAAUUAGACAACAAUGCUUGGUAAUUAUUUUACUAAUGCUAUGGAUAAUUUACAUUGCUUUCAAUGUAGCUCUCAAGAAUGCGGGCCCAUUGCUGUGCUACAUAGGAAAGUAUAUCUCUUGUAUGUCUGGAUCUAAAGAAGCUGUCCUGCAGUUAACCAAGUUGAAUGAAAGAGACUGAAAAUAAUAGUGACUGUCACCUCUAAAAUGUUGUUGGAUGAUAGGUUACUAUUUGAUAAAGUCAGAGAGAUUGCCAUUUGGGGGUAUGGGUCAAAUUAUCAUAUGGUUCCAUAUGUUGAGGAAGAUCUUUGUAGACUUAGAAGUAGUUUUGGAAUCAGAAAACAAUCAUUUGAAAUUUCCUUCAAUCAUUACCUGAGAAUAUUGCUUGAAGCAUUUCACAGAUAAACUUACUGACCUUGUCUGUUAAUUUAGAUAUGAACACGGAUUUAAAGAUUUCUGAAAAGCAGCAAAAUACGAUCAUCUUUUAACUGUUGGUGGUCAUGAAUUAAUUGAUGUGAUAAUAAUUAAAGUUAAGCCACAUCUUGGAAAAAGCAAAUAUAUAUAUAUACAUGUAUAUAUACGGGAAAUUGAAAACUUGUAAUGGUUUAAAUUAUAUAGUUUUUUCACCUUUUGCUAUCAUUAUUGAAUUAGUUCGUAGAAUAAAUUAAAUAAAUUAAUUACAAACACCUAUUCAGCUGUUAGCUUGUUCUGUUUGCAUGACUUCGGUUCAGUAGCUUCAUCAGUGCUAAAAUAUCUGUUUACUGAGCAAACGUCUAUUUGGUUAUUAAUCAAUUUUCGUCUUCCACAUAAUCAUUAAUCUCUCAGUACCUGCACACAAACAACUCACACAAUGGACAACACAACAUAUACACAAAUUCAGUCAUGUAUUUAGGUAAGAAUCACAUUGUUAGAUGUGAAUUAAUAAAAUUAAGAAUUCUGGGUUCAUGUUUAAGAGUGAGGAGAUCAUAAAUGUAAAAAGCAACAGAGAAAUUAUAGCUAAAGAUUUUCAACUUAGUGCUUCUUUAGCCAUCUUUUGCAUGUUUCUUUGUUGGAUGUCUUAAAUGUAUAUUUUUAGUGGACAUCAUCUUUAGAAUAUAUAUUCGUUGGAUAUGUUUAAGAGAAAAAGUAAUUUUUUAAAUUUCAUUUAAGUUAAAAAAUUUGGAAGCAUGACAUUUUUUAAAGUAUUUUUAACAUGUUUAUCAAAUUUUUGUGAAAUCUCACUGUAAAGGAACAGUAAUUAUUCAAAUAUAUAGUUGUGUUUCUCAGAAUAAAACUUAAGUAAACAACUUAAUGGCUCUAAAUGCUUUUUCUCCAAAGGUUAUGAACCUCAAAUUGCUCGUAGUAGAUGAUGAGUUUGCAGGUUGAGAAAGGUCAUACUUAAUAGAAACUUCUGAAGUAUGAGAGAUGUCACACUAAUUAGAGGUAAAUGUUUAGUUGUCUGUGCUGUUAUUUAUAUUGGCUACCUUCAACCUAACUACAUCUGUAAUUUUGUAAUCUUGGCUUCAUCUUUAAAAUUCUCAGCUCUGACAUGUAAGAAAUAAUUAUGUUAAAGAGGUCUGAUUUAAGCUUUAUAAUAAACAUCUUAAAUAUUAAAAACAUAUCACAUGAUACAAAUAAUUAAUAUGAACUUGAAGUAUAAACUAUAUAUGAUUAAGAUUUACUUAUAUGAUUAAGAUAGACUACUUAUAAUUCCAUAAUUUCUUGUUCUCUGUUAAUAGAGAUAUUUAGUAAAUCAACAUUGAACAAAUGUUGAAUGCCAUUACUUAAAAUUUUGUAGUUGUUUAAUCCGAUGGCUUAUAUGAAAAGUUUCUAUAAGAAAUAAAUGUUUAUUUUAAUUUAAGUGAAAUCAUUUCUAAAGUAUAAAUCCAAUUAUAUAUGAGACGGGUAUAUGAUAUCAGAGGAUUUGAAUUUACCAUAUUAUUGCUACUUAUUUUAUCAACACUUGAUAAGUAAAAGAUAAGAGUGACAUCAACAAAGAAAGACACAAAAUCAAAUAUUGUAAUACAUUUAGUUCAACAAUCAGCAAUUUAGUUCAAACAAAUCAGUUUGGUAUUUUUUUUACAUUUGUCAAGUAUCAUGUUAAGUGCAGACAUGGUUGUAUGGUUAAGAAGUUUACUUCCCAACCACAUGGUUUUGGUAAAGUCCCAUGCUGUGACACCCUGGAUAAGUAUUAUCUAUUAUAGCUCCUGGCUGACUAAAACCUUGAAUGGAUUUGGUUGCUGGAAAUUGAAAGAAGACCAUUCACAGACACACACACACCAAUAUCAUUGACAUCAUCACCAUUUAACCUCUAUGUUCCUUGCUGGCAUGGGUUGGAUGGUUUGACAAGGAUCUGAUGAGUCGAAAGAUUGCAUUGUGUUCCAGUGUCUGCUGUGGCAUGGUUUCUAUAGCUGGAUGCCCUUCCUAUCACAGUCACUUUACAGUGUGUACUGGGUACCUUUGUUGUGCUACCAACACUCUUGAGGUCACCACGUGUUUGUGUGUAUGUGUGCAUAAGAAUGUCGACAUUCUUUGUUUUCACAUGACCCCGACAAUGAUGUCUUGAAGCUCCUAUUCUUUUGAAGAUUGUUGCAAUAAAAAGAAAACUCCUUACUAGAAAUCAGGUAUGGGUUCACAACAGAUAGGGCAACUGACCAUAAAAUAUUGUCUCAAGUAAGUCUCCAUUCAAAUGAAUGCCCACAUGAAAAAUUAGACGUAGAAGUAAAACACUUGUACAUAUUUGCAAAAACUCAACAUUAAUGCAUUAUAUAUUUGGUCUUCAGCUUUAUUAUUGUUCUUAUUUUAGUGUCCUUUGUCUGAAACCUUUCAUCACACAUCUUGUGACCUCUUUAGUAGCCCUCCAUCCCACAUGUCUCCUCCUGUUCUGUUUAGUCCAUUCUAAAUGGACAAAGCAGAAAAGGAGGGGACAUGUGGGUUGGAGAGUUGCUGAAGAGAUCAUAGGAUGUAUGAUGAAAGAUUUUAGAAAAAGCAACUAAAAUAAGAAUUGGUGUGUUAGUUUUUACAUUAGCCAGUAUUUCUUUCUUCAUUCUAUACUUCAGUGUGGGUAACAUCCAAAUCUUUGUAAGGUUGACUGCCUAGCCAGCAGAGUAUCAGGCUUGGUUUGGAAUAUGAUGCAGUAGGUAUACUGACAAUUGAAAUUAUUGCAAUUAGCUGCCUAAUGCAUUAACAUCAUGCUGCAAGCAUUUUUCUGAAGGUGUGUCUAUUAGAUUCUCUUAGCCUUUUACUUGUUUCAGUCAUUGGACUGUAGCUAUGUUGGGGCACCACUUCGAAGGGUUUUUAGUCAAUUAAAUUGAACCAAGUACUUGUUCUAAGUCUAGUACUUAUUCUAUUGGUUUCUUUUAACCAUAGUUAUGGGAGUGUGUGUCAGGGAUGGGCAAACAAACCAUCACUGCUUUUGUCAAACUUGGGACAAACUCAACACUCACCCAUAUCACACACACACAAUACCACACAACAAACUUCUGUACAAUUUUUGUUGACCACAUUUACUCACAAAGCAUUGCUGUGCCUGACACAUAGCAGAAAACUUUUGGCCAAAAUGCUCAUAUUAUGGGACUGAGCCAAAGCCACAUGGUUGCAAACCAAACUCCUUUAUCCAGAGCCAUCAUCAUCAUUUAACUUCCACUUUUCCAUACUUGUGUGGGUCAGAUGGAAUUUCUAGAGGCAGAUAUUCUAUGGUUGGAUACUCUUCUUUAUCACCAACACUUGUCUGUUUCCAACCAAGAUAAUGUUUCCUUGUAACCAAACCUAUUUUUCAAAGAAGACUAGAAAUGAACAUCACUUGUAUGAUCGUGGCACCUGUUUUCAAUCAUCAUAUGAUGUAAAAACAAGUGCACACACACACACACACACACAUCCCUCUCUAUCAGUUUCCAUCCACCAAAUCCACUCACAUGUCUUUGGUUGGCCCAGGACUAUAGAAGAAGACAUUAACCCAAGGUGCCACACAUGGGACUGAAACCAAGACCACAUAAGUUGGGAAGUAAGCUUCACAACCACAAGGCCAUACUUGUACCAGUAAAACAUGACUGAAUUCUCUGUUUCUGUCCUUUAUAGAUUUAAUGUGUUAUUAGUUUAAUACUCUAACCAGUAAGUUAUCAUACAUAUUUUUAUGAUUUUUAAAUUUAAUAAUAUGCUUUAGAUUUAGUAUAAAAUAAAAUAGAAAACUGAGUAAUCUUUACUUUGUUUUCCCUAAUUUUUUGCAAAUCAUUUCCAGACAAUUUUAUCCACUAAUUAGUAAGGUUUCAAUGAGGUCUCAUAUCAAAAAUAAUUAAUUAUAUGCAAUCAUAUUAAAUUGUAUUUAAAUUAGAAAUUCGUUAAUGUUACAACUAAUGGAAAUGCGUGCUUCUUUCUUCAAUUUUUAUCUUUUUUUAUUACUCUUUUUUUUUAUAACUUCCAUAUUGAUUCGGAUAAUUUAAUUUUUGAGUUCAUUUAGUUUACAUUUUGCUUGUUCGUUUACAAGUUUAGUUUGUAUUUGUUUUUAAAGAGGCCUGCAGUUCAUAUAACACAUCACUGAACUUUCUUCAAUACCAUUCCCUUAAACAAGAUAUGCUACCAUACUACUAGAAAUAGUGAAAAAAAAACUAUUUAUAGUGAAUUAAAAAUACAUAAAGUGACAACUAGUUUUAAUUUCUAAGUGAUUAUUUUGACUAUAAAUAUAUAUAAUAUAUAUAUAUAUAUAUAUAUAUAUAUGUACAUGUAAAAUCUUUUAAAAAUAUAAAUAUGCAUUGCUAAAUUGAAAAUUUACUAUAUAUUUGUGUGCAUGUUUGUGUGUGUAUUCAUUUAUAUAUGUAUAUUUAUACAUAUAUAACUUAUAAAGUUUCUAUUUUAGUGGUGUAUAUUCUUAAAUUAAAUAACUUUUUCUAGCAAUUUUGUUUUCUUUUACUACUUCUGCCUGCCUAUAAUUUUUUUUUUGUUCUGAUUUUUUUUGUUUGUUUUUGAAAGUGUAGGGGGUGUUAUUUAUUUUACUUUAUAUUUUCCUCGUGUGAAAAAUCUGCCACAAAACUGCACAUAAAUUACAUCAAACACUGAAUAUUUCCUGAUCAAUGAGAUAUUCAAUUGGUGUUGAAGACAGAGAAGAAAAUCCUUGCAGAAUCA